AUGGACAAAAGCUGUUUCCACAUGCUGACGAUCAAGAAACUGCUGGAGCUGCUACAGCCCGGAAACUGGUUCACCGCCAUCGACCUGAAAGACGCCUAUUUCAUGUUGAGCCAGCCCACCCCUGGGGGUGGCCAGGAGGCCCCCUCCAGCACCAUCUCAUCCCUUCAGUUAGGGUGUGAGAAGACAGCGGACGUUGUCGUGUCUCUCAGCGCCUCAGUAGAACUUGCUGGUUGUGCUGGAGGCUCUAAGUUUGUAUCACUGUGGUGGACUUUUGGUGGAGGAACCAGACUGGAUGUUGGAAGUGAUGUCCGUCCCACCCUGACGGUGCUGCCCCCCUCCAGUGAGGAGCUGCAGCAGGGGAAGGCCACGCUCAUGUGCCUGGCCAACAAGGGCUUCCCCUCAGACUGGAGUCUGGCCUGGAAGGUGGACGGCAGCAGCAGCAGCAGCUGGGAGGAGAGCAGGAGCCCCGGGGUGCUGGAGAAGGACGGCCGCUACAGCUGGAGCAGCACCCUGAGGCUCCCUGCAGACCAGUGGAGGAAGGUGGGCUCUGUGACCUGUGAGGCCACCCAGGGCUCCCAGGCUCUGGUCUCAGAGACACUGAGGAGAGACCAGUGUUCCCAGUCCUGACCUGACUCACUGGGACUCUGCUACUGGUUUUACUCUGCUCUCUGAACUCUGUAACUCUCUCUGUGUCUGUGUCUCUUUCUUUCCUUAAGUCAUUCUCUAAUCACAUGUUUCAUGGUUAAAGUUUGUUUACUGCAUUUAAUUUGGAUUAUUUCAACACAAUAAAGACCAGUUCAUUCAAAUUUGUUGUUUUCAUUUCUGUUAUAGUGACUGUACUCUGUUACUCUGUCAUCAGAUCAUAUUAACAAUAUUCAACUUUAAGUAGUGAAGCUUCAUUGAUGUAAUAAUGCUCAU